GACGUAGGGGGCGAGCGUUGUCCGGAUUUAUUGGGCGUAAAGCGUGCGCAGGCGGCUUUGCAAGACAGAUGUGAAAUCCCCCGGGCUCAACCUGGGAACUGCAUUUGUGACUGCAAGGCUAGAGUACGGUAGAGGGGGAUGGAAUUCCGCGUGUAGCAGUGAAAUGCGUAGAUAUGCGGAGGAACACCGAUGGCGAAGGCAAUCCCCUGGACCUGUACUGACGCUCAUGCACGAAAGCGUGGGGAGCAAACAGG
rnacentral:rRNA from 1 species